rnacentral:rRNA from 1 species
AUACGUAGGGUGCAAGCGUUAAUCGGAAUUAUUGGGCGUAAAGGGUGCGCAGGCGGUUUUGUAAGUCAGAUGUGAAAUCCCCGGGCUUAACCUGGGAAUUGCGUUUGAAACUACAAGACUAGAGUGUGGCAGAGGGGGGUGGAAUUCCAUGUGUAGCAGUGAAAUGCGUAGAGAUGUGGAAGAACAUCGAUGGCGAAGGCAACCCCCUGGGUUAACACUGACGCUCAGGCACGAAAGCGUGGGGAGC